rnacentral:rRNA from 1 species
UACGAAGGGGGCUAGCGUGGCUCGGAAUCACUGGGCGUAAAGCGCACGUAGGCGGUUCUUUAAGUCAGGGGUGAAAUCCUGGAGCUCAACUCCAGAACUGCCUUUGAUACUGGGGAUCUCGAGUCCGGGAGAGGUGAGUGGAACUCCGAGUGUAGAGGUGAAAUUCGUAGAUAUUCGGAAGAACACCAGUGGCGAAGGCGGCUCACUGGCCCGGUACUGACGCUGAGGUGCGAAAGCGUGGGGAGCAAACAGG